rnacentral:rRNA from 2 species
GCGUGCCUAAUACAUGCAAGUCGAGCGGAUCGAUGGGAGCUUGCUCCCUGAGAUCAGCGGCGGACGGGUGAGUAACACGUGGGUAACCUGCCUGUAAGACUGGGAUAACUCCGGGAAACCGGGGCUAAUACCGGAUAACUCAGUUCCUCGCAUGAGGAACGGUUGAAAGGUGGCUUUUAGCUACCACUUACAGAUGGACCCGCGGCGCAUUAGCUAGUUGGUGAGGUAACGGCUCACCAAGGCGACGAUGCGUAGCCGACCUGAGAGGGUGAUCGGCCACACUGGGACUGAGACACGGCCCAGACUCCUACGGGAGGCAGCAGUAGGGAAUCUUCCGCAAUGGACGAAAGUCUGACGGAGCAACGCCGCGUGAGUGAAGAAGGUUUUCGGAUCGUA